GCCCAGGUCGCAUAACCCGGUAUUGCGCAAGCCUGGAAAGCUUGUACCGAAAGGUAUUCCCGGUUCAAAUCCGGGUCUAGGCG
rnacentral:tRNA from 1 species